rnacentral:rRNA from 1 species
GUAGUCCACGCCGUAAACGAUGAGUGCUAAGUGUUAGAGGGUUUCCGCCCUUUAGUGCUGCAGCAAACGCAUUAAGCACUCCGCCUGGGGAGUACGGUCGCAAGACUGAAACUCAAAGGAAUUGACGGGGGCCCGCACAAGCGGUGGAGCAUGUGGUUUAAUUCGAAGCAACGCGAAGAACCUUACCAGGUCUUGACAUCCUUCGCUACUUCUAGAGAUAGAAGGUUCCCCUUCGGGGGACGAAGUGACAGGUGGUGCAUGGUUGUCGUCAGCUCGUGUCGUGAGAUGUUGGGUUAAGUCCCGCAACGAGCGCAACCCUUGAUCUUAGUUGCCAGCAUUCAGUUGGGCACUCUAAGGUGACUGCCGGUGACAAACCGGAGGAAGGUGGGGAUGACGUCAAAUCAUCAUGCCCCUUAUGACCUGGGCUACACACGUGCUACAAUGGAUGGUACAAAGGGCUGCAAGACUGCGAAGUCAAGCGAAUCCCAUAAAACCAUUCUCAGUUCGGAUUGCAGGCUGCAACUCGCCUGCAUGAAGCCGGAAUCGCUAGUAAUCGCGGAUCAGCAUGCCGCGGUGAAUA